UGAGGAAUAUUGGUCAAUGGACGCAAGUCUGAACCAGCCAAGUAGCGUGCAGGAUGACGGCCCUAUGGGUUGUAAACUGCUUUUAUAUGGGGAUAAAGUGGGGAACGUGUUCCCUUUUGCAGGUACCAUAUGAAUAAGGACCGGCUAAUUCCGUGCCAGCAGCCGCGGUAAUACGGAAGGUUCGGGCGUUAUCCGGAUUUAUUGGGUUUAAAGGGAGCGUAGGCCGUUUGGUAAGCGUGUUGUGAAAUGUAGGAGCUCAACUUCUAGAUUGCAGCGCGAAUUGUCAGACUUGAGUGCGCACAACGUAGGCGGAAUUCAUGGUGUAGCGGUGAAAUGCUUAGAUAUCAUGAAGAACUCCGAUUGCGAAGGCAGCUUACGGGAGCGCAACUGACGCUGAAGCUCGAAGGUGCGGGUAUCGAACAGG
rnacentral:rRNA from 1 species